AUCUGGUUGAUCCUGCAGUAGUCAUAUGCUUGUCUCAAAGAUUAAGCCAUGCAUGUCUAAGUACAUACUUUUUACAUAGUGAAACCGCAGAUGGCUCAUUAAAUCAGUUAUGGUUCAUUUAGAUCGUACAAUCCUACUUGGAUAACUGUGGUAAUUCUAGAGCUAAUACAUGAAGCGCAGCUCUGACCUCGCGGAAAGAGCGCGUUUAUUGGAUCAAAACCAGUCGGGUUCGCAAGGGCCCGUCGGUUGGUGAGACUGGAUAACUUUAUGCUGAUCGCACGACCUCGCGCCAGCAUUAUCUCUUCAAAUGUCUGCCCUAUCAACUUUCGAUGGUACGUGAUAUGCCUACCAUGGUUGUAACGGGUAACGGGGAAUCAGGGUUCGAUUCCGGAGAGGGAGCAUGAGAACGGCUACCACAUCCAAGGAAGGCAGCAGGCGCGCAAAUUACCCACCCUGGCACGGGGAGGUAGUGACGAAAAAUAACAAUACGGGACUCUUUCAGGCCCCGUAAUGGAAUAGUACCACUAGAAAACCCUUUAACGAGGAUCUAAUGGAGAGCAAGUCUGGUGCCAACAGCCGCCCGGUAAUUCCAGCUCAAUAGCGUAUAUUAAAGUUAUUUACCCAGUUAAAAAGCUCGUAGUUGGAUCUCGGGUCCAGGCUUUGCGGUCGACGCCUGUCGAUUUACUACUCGUCUGAUACUACCUCGGUUUUUAUACCUUGGUGCUCUUGACUGAAGUGUCUCAGGUGGCGAACGUUUGCUUUGAAAAAAUUAGGGAGUGUUCAAAGCGAGCAAUAUCGCCUGAAUAAUGGUGCAUGGAAUAAUGGAAUAGGACCUCGGUUCUAUUUGCUGGUUUUCGGGCUCGAGGUAAUGAUUAAGAGGGACUGACAGGGGCAUUCGUAUUACGGUGUUAGAGGUGAAAUUCUUGGAUCGCCGUAAGACGAACCACUGCGAAAACGUUGCCAACAUGUUUUCAUUAGUCAAGAACGAAAGUCAGAGGUUCGAAGACGAUCAGAUACCGUCGUAGUUCUGACCAUAAACGAUGCAACUAACGAUCCGCCAGAGUUGCUUCAAUGACUCGACAGGCAGCCCCCGGGAAACCAAAGUUUUGGUUCCGGGGGAAGUAUGGUUACAAAGCUGAAACUUAAAGGAAUUGACGGAAGGGCACCACCAGAAUUGGGCCUGCGGCUUAAUUGACUCAACACGGGAAAACUCACCCGGCCCGGACACUGAGGAUUGACAGAUUGAGAGCUCUUUCUUGAUUCGGUGGGUGGUGGUGCAUGGCCGUUCUUAGUUGGUGGAGCGAUUUGUCUGGUUAAUUCCGAUAACGAACGAGACUCUAGCCUACUAAAUAGUUCGCCGAUCCCCCAUUUGCGUCAGCGCGCUUCUUAGAGGGACAAGUGGCAUGUUUAGCCACACACGAGAUUGAGCAAUAACAGGUCUGUGAUGCCCUUAGAUGUUCGGGGCCGCACGCGCGCUACUGAAGGGAAUCAGCGCGUGUCUCUGCCCUUACCUGGAAAGAUUCGGGUAACCCGUGAACCUCCUUCGUGCUAGGGAUUGGGGCUUGUAAUUCUUCCCCAUGAACGAGGAAUUCCCAGUAAGCGCGAGUCAUAAACUCGCGUUGAUUACGUCCCUGCCCUUUGGCACACCGCCCGUCGCUACUACCGAUUGGGCGUUUUAGUGAAGCGCCUCCGAUUGGACCCGGAAAUGGUUGGCAACAACCGUACCGGUGUGCCGAAAAGACGCGCAAACUUGAACGCCUAGAGGAAGUAAAGUCGUAAAUAAGGGUUCCGUAGGUGAACCUGCGGAAGGAUCAUU
rnacentral:rRNA from 1 species